AUACCUUUCUCGGCCUUUUGGCUAAGAUCAAGUGUAGUAUCUGUUCUUAUCAGUUUAAUAUCUGAUACGUGGGCAUAGGUCCACACGAUAUUAAAUUAUUUUUUAAAGGGGAAGAUUCACCACAGUGGCUUGCUUACUGGAAUCUUCAUGCGUCGCCAAUGCGUUACACUACUGCAAUGGCCUGGCGUGUCCUCC
rnacentral:snRNA from 1 species